rnacentral:tRNA from 1 species
GCCGGGGUGCCCUAGCCUGGUAGGGGGCCGGCCUGCUAAGCCGGUGGCCUUACGGGCCGCGUGGGUUCGAAUCCCACCCCCGGCG